AUGAUGGGUUCGAAGAAGGAUUGGCCGGUGCUGCUAGCUGGCGUCAAGUUCGAUCCCACGGAUCAGGAGCUGAUCGAGCACCUUGAGGCCAAAGUGAGUGAUGACAGCACGAGAUCUCACCCUCUCAUCGAUUUUUUCAUACCAACCAUCGACAGCGAGCACGACAUAUGCUACACCCAACCUGAGAAACUUCCAGGUAUCACACUGAGUGGCCUAAGGAAGCAUUUCUUCCAGCGGAAUUCACGGGCGUUCAAAAAGGGCACGUGGACGUGUCGCAAGAUACAGUCAGAGUGCGGCAUGCACGUGAUGUGGCACAAGACCGGCAAUACCUUGCCGGUGAUGAGGACCAACUGGGUGAUGCACCAGUACCACCUUGGGGACGUGGAGCAAGAGAAGGAGCGGGAGCUGCAAGUUGGUAUUGUUGUUAACGAUCUUUUGGCCCAACCCAUGACGACAACGGGGCACAAAGAUCCAGCAGGAUCGCUAGUCGCCGCCGCCAACGCUCCAGCUGCUCACUGCCUUGCCGUCGCCAGCGCCAGCCGCUUGGAAGCCAUGGACCUUGGGGAUAAGGACCAUAGCUUUAGCGUGGACAGUGACGGGGAGGAGAUGCAGCUCACGCUCAUGCAUAAUAAGUCGGACGGGGGCGGCCACCGCGGCGCAGCACCGUCGUUUGAUGGUGCCAUCCGUCUCCAUCCACUAGGAAAGGCCAAGCCCCUGGCCAAUGUAAAGGACAUGUACCUCCUGCCUCGGCAUCCAAGAUGGUGA
rnacentral:rRNA from 1 species